rnacentral:rRNA from 1 species
GUGGGGAAUCUUGCGCAAUGGGCGAAAGCCUGACGCAGCCAUGCCGCGUGAAUGAUGAAGGUCUUAGGAUUGUAAAAUUCUUUCACCGGGGACGAUAAUGACGGUACCCGGAGAAGAAGCCCCGGCUAACUUCGAGCCAGCAGCCGCGGUAAUACGAAGGGGGCUAGCGUUGCUCGGAAUUACUGGGCGUAAAGGGCGCGUAGGCGGACAGUUUAGUCAGAGGUGAAAGCCCAGGGCUCAACCUUGGAAUUGCCUUUGAUACUGGCUGUCUUGAGUACGGGAGAGGUGAGUGGAACUCCGAGUGUAGAGGUGAAAUUCGUAGAUAUUCGGAAGAACACCAGUGGCGAAGGCGACUCACUGGCCCGUUACUGACGCUGAGGCGCGAAAGCGUGGGGAGCAAACAGGAUUAGAAACCCCGGUAGUCC